rnacentral:lncRNA from 1 species
AAACAAAAAAUGAUAGUGACACUGAUGAAUUUAAAAAAUGUGAACAUGACAGCACGCGGGACAAACAUAGCAAAUUAUCUAAAUCCAUAGAAAAAAUUAAUAAUGGUAAAACAAAACAAAAUGUACAAAAUAUACUUGGCUUGUAUUAUUCAAGUGAUGACGAAGGAGAGGUAAAUGAAGAACAGCCAAAACGACAGGAACAACCAAAACGACAGGAACAACCAAAACAACAAGAACAGCCAAAACAAAAGGAACAGCCAAAACAACAGGAACAACCAAAACAACAAGAACAGCCAAAACAAAAGGAACAGCCAAAACAAAAGGAACAGCCAAAACAACAGGAACAGCUUGAAAAAAAAUAUGGCAAAACUUGUGAAAAAGCUUCUGUAAAAAAUGUCAUAAAUGAAUGCACGUUUCAACGUGAUAAUACAUAUGGGGAUACAAAGGAACAAGAUAAUAAAAUGGGUCCAAAUGUAAAAAAUAAAAACGGUUGUGCUGAAAGUGUAUAUUCAAGUGACGAUGACACAAACAACACUAAUGAAAACAAAGUUAUUAAUAUCAGUAGUAGUGAAAAAAAAAGUCAAGCUUAUUUUAAUAAUCAAAUAAAAAAUCGAUCAUUCCAAAAAGAAGAUAUCGUACCGAGUGACUCUUGUGUAGAUAAUAGAUUAUUAAACACAAAUAAAAAUAAUAAAAAAAAAAAUCCAAAUGAAAGUGUAUAUAACAUUAAUGAUAAGAGUUAUGCUACUAACAAUAUACAAAAGGUAUAUAAUAACACAUAUAAUAAUAAAACACUUUUUAAUAAUAUGGACAUAAAAUAUACACAACGUCAACAAAUGCCGAAUCAAAAUGUCAAUUUUUUAAAUAGUUUAAAUUAUAACAUAACUCAUAAUAAUAUAAAUAAUUAUUAUAACUACGAUGUUAGUAAAGGAUAUAAUACUAACAGUUUUUACACUAACAUAAAUACAUACAGUACUGAAAGUGCUUACAAAAAUAAAACAAUGCAAGGAUAUAAUUAUAAUAUCAAUAAAAACGCUAAUAUAAACAGAAAAUUUAAUUCUUUACAUAGUAACAAUUUCGGUUUUCCAAAAAAUAAAGAAAUGAAUGUUGAUUUAUCAAAUAUACCUGUAAUAAAACAAAAGGAGAUGUUAAAUGAUUGGAACUCAAACAUAACAGUAUUAGAUAAACAAGAAAAACAACAAAGUAAUAAAUAUAAUAUAAAAACAAAAGUAUAUAAUCCAACUAAUAAUACAUUUGAUAAAGUAAUUAUUCAUGGAAAAAAUCAAAAACGAAAACACCAAAUUAAUUGGCUAGCUAAAGAAGCAGUUGAAAAGGAAUAUGAAAUUUUACAAAAAAUGAAUAACAAUAAAAGAAGAACAACAAGUGAUAAAUAUGGAUGG